CAGGACUCGCAAGAUUCCCUGAAACCACUGUGAACCGUACCUACACGUUGCCUCGGCGGGCGCCCGGUCCCCGUGGCCGGGCGUUCCAGCCCGCCGGCGGCCCCCGACUCUGUCUCUGUAACUGUCUCUCUGAGCCUAUGAUAAACAAGUCA
rnacentral:misc_RNA from 1 species